rnacentral:lncRNA from 1 species
UCUCAUCAGAUCAUCAUCCAUCAUUCCAAUGUUAACCUUAUGUCCCUGGAUAAAUACAAUAUAAUCAUCUAUUGUAUUUCUAUUUUCUCUCGUGGAUCUCCUAAAUGACAUAUGUUCUUGAGGUGUAAGAGUUUGUUCAUAUGGAACAAUUUCUUGUAUGGAGAGUUAAACACCUGUGGAAAUAUCAAUAUAUUCCUCCAUAACCAUAUCUCCCCCUGCAAACUCGACAUCCU